rnacentral:lncRNA from 1 species
ACCUAUCUGUAUCCAACAAAGAAGCUGAAUCUAAUAUAGCACUGAUUUCUCUAAAGGUUUUGGUUUAUAUCUGUAUUUCCGAAAUGAGUUAGGCAUGUUUCUAACGGAUCAGAAGAAAGAGAUGGGACAAGAGCAUCUUCUACAACGGAGUCGAUCAGAUUAACUCCAUAAAUCUCAUCAUUUUCGUUGUCAUUAUCGGAUUGUUUGCAAAUGUUAAAUAUAUUAAAAUCUAUAGUCAUAUUCCCGAAUGACAUUUUCAUUAUUCCAUUUCGACAGUUGAUCAAAGCAUUGGAAGUAGCUAGAAAUGGGCGGCCUAAGAUGACAGGUAUUGGAGUGGUACAGUUCAUGACAGGCUGGAUAUCUAAUACUAUGAAGUCGACUGAAAAAUAGAAUUUAUCAAUUUGGACAAGUACAUCCUCGACUACUCCUCUUGGUAUCUUUAUAGAUCGAUCUGCAAGUUGGAGAGUAACCUUGGUGGGUUUUA